AGGAAACCAGACAGUUUGGAAAUUGCAGACUUUCAAACACCAACUUCAGAUGGAUGGCAGCAGUUGUGGUGUUCUGAUAUUAAAUGUAAAAAGCUAACAUUAUUAUCUUAAAUCCUAUCUUUUUGUGUUUAAUUUUUACAUUACAUCUGUGCUUUGUUUUUCAGUUUGCAGAAAAGUACCUUACAAGUGGAUCAAUUGAUUAGGUGGAAACCAGCCCAGCAUCUAUAAGAGCAGAAAGACUGGAGAUUGCUGGCCUCCUUAUGGAAAAUCAGGGUAACAUAGAUGAAUACUGCAUAAUAUGCAGCAUGAUGGACCUGCAGUCAGCCAACACCACAAUUAACAUGGUGCAAUGUGAUCACGGCAACAGACGGGCACACACUGAAUGCACUCCGUACUCUGCUGAAGAGUUAUCAACAGAUGGGCACACACUGAAUGCACUCUGUACUCUGCUGAAGAGUUAUCAACAGACGGGCACACACUGAAUGCACUCCGUACUCUGCUGAAGAGUUAUCAACAGACGGGCACACACUGAAUGCACUCCGUACUCUGCUGAAGAGUUAUCAACAGAUGGGCACACACUGAAUGCACACCGUACUCUGCUGAAGAGUUAUCAACAG